UACGUAGGGGGCUAGCGUUGUCCGGAUUUACUGGGCGUAAAGAGCGCGCAGGCGGUCGGAUAAGUCGAAUGUGAAAGCCCCCGGCUCAACUGGGGAGGGUCAUUCGAUACUGUUCGACUCGAAGGCAGGAGAGGGAAGUGGAAUUCCCGGUGUAGUGGUGAAAUGCGCAGAUAUCAGGAGGAACACCAAUGGCGAAGGCAGCUCGCUGGAAUGGUACUGACGCUGAGGCGCGAAAGCGUGGGGAGCGAACAGG
rnacentral:rRNA from 1 species